rnacentral:rRNA from 1 species
GCGUAGGGUAUGUAGACAGUGAAUGAUAUAAAUGAAUGAAAUCCUUGGGGGGUCCCCAUUGGCCGUUUAUUUUAAUUUCACUAGAAUCUAAGAGGGGUUUUGGUAUUUUUAUGGAGGGGUUAAAUAUGAGAUAUAAAAAGGACCGACAGUGGUUAAUGCAAUGACCUGGUCUAGUAUUGACGUUAAGGUACGAAAGCAGGGGAGCGAAACGGAUUAGAGACCCGUGUAGUCCGUGUAUCAACGCUGAGUUUUCAAUGUAGGAAUGUGGAAUACAGCAGUUAUUUUUUUUUUUAAUAAUAAUAAAAAAAAUUGUAUAUUUAUAUAUAUAUUAUAUAACGCUAAGGACAAAUAUAUAAAAAAAUUUAUAUAUGUAAAUUAAUAUAUUUUUAAAUGAACUAUACAUUAGGGAGUUUAUAAAUUAUAAUUUUUAAUCUUAACUAUAAGAAUGAUAGGAUUAUCCUUAUUGUAACAUAUCAAAUAUGUACAAGUAUUUCAGGCUUUCUUGGUGUUUGAGUAACGCGUUAAAUUCUCCGCUGGGUAGUAUGGCCGCAGGUUGAAACUCAAAAGAAUUGAGGUGACUUGUACGAGG